UCGGUCCGAAAAGCACCAAACCGAUCAAUCGUGGGCGACUGGGGUGGUCGCUAACCCUAUGGUCCCUAUCCAAGGCCAACGGCGAUGGCGGCUGUGAGCCGAGAUGUCAUCGGAGUUCGAGCCCGUGCUACUAUUCCUUAAAGCGUGUCUGUGUCCAUCCAGUCCCAAUUUGAGGCGCACAGAGGAGCGGCCGCCGGCAGGCCGUGUGCCGGAUGCGAGGCACUGGAUUGGAUUGACCACAGGUGAGGAGCAGCAGGAUCGGGUGGAGUCGCGGGAGCAAACAAUAGCAUGGCGGCCGACGCUGGACGGGAGCGGCGGUGCCUCCCCCGCGACCUUCACCUCCAGCGGUGGAGCCAACCGCGACUUCCAUUCUCGUCUUGCGGUCGCCCCUUGCAAUCCGAGAAGGAAAGGGGUGCGGUGGCGGCAGCAAGGAUGAGAAGGUUGGCAAGGAGACGAAGAAGGCGCCCCCGCUCCCCGUGCUCACAGACGUGCUCAGUAUUCAUAUGUCUCGUGGCUUAUGUUCUAGCAACCGCUUAAGGAGGAGAAGGGCAGAACGCCACGUACAGGUAAAUGCUUUCAUGGUGUCCCUUUCAAUGUAUUGUUGUUCGGCGGAUUCUACCGUUCUCUGUGGUCACAGUGCGCAGGCGGCUCUUCCUGGCGUCAUGGAGUUCAACAGAGAGGAAGGAGUACAUGGCGAUGUGCACAAUGUAUGCAAGGAGCGUGGCCAUGCCCAUGCGUGUGCAUUGGUUGUUUGGGACCCUGCAUGGAGUGGCCUCGUGGUUCAAUUCAAUAAAAAUAAUGUACCCUAUAGCAUUUUUUCAAUGUGACGGAACAACAUCCGAGAGGGUCAGUGCUGGACCGAUAGGUGUCUCUACGAGUCUGCACAUUAUGUUACCCUAUGAUAUGAUCCUCCAUGGAGCGAAAUUAUCUUCAUGUGUCACAAAAAACAGGUUUGAUCGGUGCUAAUGGGGUUGCUGCUAUGAGUAGUCUUUUUAGAGCUAACUGUACGGACUUUGAGACAGAUUCUUUUCGUGAAAUGCUGCCUUCUGAAGGAGGUGCUCACAGAUCGAUUCCUUUUUUCAGAAAAAUAUCAUCUUACUAUGAUCAUGCUUUUAGACCUUCUGCUUUAGCAGUGAUGCAGGUUAUCCCUUUUUGCAAGAAAGGUUAUUUCGCUGCUCAUGUCUUUAUGUGGCUGGGCUCUCUCAAGCAACAGGAAACACACAUUUCGGCAGGGAAUCACAAAGCUUUCAGCAGUAAUGUCCAACAGGCUAUUGUGAAACCCAGCAAAAUUGGAUAGGGAUGCCAAGCUGCUGAUUUUCUGUCAGCUUUGGAUAAACAUCUAUUAUGUUCUCCGAGGAAUAAAUUUGAUGAGAGACUGAUGCUGCUGCGACCAUAAGUGCCGGUGAUUUCUGUACAUGCACCGAACCAACUAAAGCAAACAUCGAAUGUGUAACUUCUUCCUAGGGCACAAGCAUUGGGUGAAUCAAAUUCACCAAAGGUUGAAGGAGCUCAUCCAUCCAGUGAGAGCAUUGCAGCUUCCCACAUGCCAUUUAUUAAUCCAUUUGUUUUAAUUGCAUCAGAUACUCCAUCCUUCAAUUGUAUUGCCAAUGUCACUUACACAUAUGUAAUUAAGAGAGAAAAUAGGACUUUGCAAGGAUGUCA